UACGUAGGGUGCGAGCGUUGUCCGGAAUUAUUGGGCGUAAAGGGCUCGUAGGCGGUUUGUCGCGUCGGGAGUGAAAAUCCAGGGCUUAACUCUGGACUGGCUUCCGAUACGGGCAGACUAGAGGUAUGCAGGGGAGAACGGAAUUCCUGGUGUAGCGGUGAAAUGCGCAGAUAUCAGGAGGAACACCGGUGGCGAAGGCGGUUCUCUGGGCAGUACCUGACGCUGAGGAGCGAAAGUGUGGGGAGCGAACAGG
rnacentral:rRNA from 1 species